rnacentral:rRNA from 1 species
CGGCGGACGGGUUAGUAACACGUUGAUAACCUACCUAUAAUACUGGGAUAACUUCGGGAAACCGGAGCUAAUACCGGAUAAUAUAUUGAACCGCAUGGUUCAAUAGUGAAAGACGGUUUUGCUGUCACUUAUAGAUGGAUCCGCGCCGCAUUAGCUAGUUGGUAAGGUAACGGCUUACCAAGGCAACGAUGCGUAGCCGACCUGAGAGGGUGAUCGGCCACACUGGAACUGAGACACGGUCCAGACUCCUACGGGAGGCAGCAGCG